rnacentral:rRNA from 1 species
AGCCCAGAGCCUGAAUCAGUAUGUGUGUUAGUGGAAGCGUCUGGAAAGGCGCGCGAUACAGGGUGACAGCCCCGUACACAAAAAUGCACAUGCUGUGAGCUCGAUGAGUAGGGCGGGACACGUGGUAUCCUGUCUGAAUAUGGGGGGACCAUCCUCCAAGGCUAAAUACUCCUGACUGACCGAUAGUGAACCAGUACCGUGAGGGAAAGGCGAAAAGAACCCCGGCGAGGGGAGUGAAAAAGAACCUGAAACCGUGUACGUACAAGCAGUGGGAGCACAGAGCAAUCUGUGUGACUGCGUACCUUUUGUAUAAUGGGUCAGCGACUUAUAUUCUGUAGCAAGGUUAACCGAAUAGGGGAGCCGAAGGGAAACCGAGUCUUAACUGGGCGUUAAGUUGCAGGGUAUAGACCCGAAACCCGGUGAUCUAGCCAUGGGCAGGUUGAAGGUUGGGUAACACUAACUGGAGGACCGAACCGACUAAUGUUGAAAAAUUAGCGGAUGACUUGUGGCUGGGGGUGAAAGGCCAAUCAAACCGGGAGAUAGCUGGUUCUCCCCGAAAGCUAUUUAGGUAGCGCCUCGUGAAUUCAUCUCCGGGGGUAGAGCACUGUUUCGGCAAGGGGGUCAUCCCGACUUACCAACCCGAUGCAAACUGCGAAUACCGGAGAAUGUUAUCACGGGAGACACACGGCGGGUGCUAACGUCCGUCGUGAAGAGGGAAACAACCCAGACCGCCAGCUAAGGUCCCAAAGUCAUGGUUAAGUGGGAAACGAUGUGGGAAGGCCCAGACAGCCAGGAUGUUGGCUUAGAAGCAGCCAUCAUUUAAAGAAAGCGUAAUAGCUCACUGGUCGAGUCGGCCUGCGCGGAAGAUGUAACGGGGCUAAACCAUGCACCGAAGCUGCGGCAGCGACGCUUAUGCGUUGUUGGGUAGGGGAGCGUUCUGUAAGCCUGUGAAGGUGUGCUGUGAGGUAUGCUGGAGGUAUCAGAAGUGCGAAUGCUGACAUAAGUAACGAUAAAGCGGGUGAAAAGCCCGCUCGCCGGAAGACCAAGGGUUCCUGUCCAACGUUAAUCGGGGCAGGGUGAGUCGACCCCUAAGGCGAGGCCGAAAGGCGUAGUCGAUGGGAAACAGGUUAAUAUUCCUGUACUUGGUGUUACUGCGAAGGGGGGACGGAGAAGGCUAUGUUGGCCGGGCGACGGUUGUCCCGGUUUAAGCGUGUAGGCUGGUUUUCCAGGCAAAUCCGGAAAAUCAAGGCUGAGGCGUGAUGACGAGGCACUACGGUGCUGAAGCAACAAAUGCCCUGCUUCCAGGAAAAGCCUCUAAGCAUCAGGUAACAUCAAAUCGUACCCCAAACCGACACAGGUGGUCAGGUAGAGAAUACCAAGGCGCUUGAGAGAACUCGGGUGAAGGAACUAGGCAAAAUGGUGCCGUAACUUCGGGAGAAGGCACGCUGAUAUGUAGGUGAAGUCCCUCGCGGAUGGAGCUGAAAUCAGUCGAAGAUACCAGCUGGCUGCAACUGUUUAUUAAAAACACAGCACUGUGCAAACACGAAAGUGGACGUAUACGGUGUGACGCCUGCCCGGUGCCGGAAGGUUAAUUGAUGGGGUCAGCGCAAGCGAAGCUCUUGAUCGAAGCCCCGGUAAACGGCGGCCGUAACUAUAACGGUCCUAAGGUAGCGAAAUUCCUUGUCGGGUAAGUUCCGACCUGCACGAAUGGCGUAAUGAUGGCCAGGCUGUCUCCACCCGAGACUCAGUGAAAUUGAACUCGCUGUGAAGAUGCAGUGUACCCGCGGCAAGACGGAAAGACCCCGUGAACCUUUACUAUAGCUUGACACUGAACAUUGAGCCUUGAUGUGUAGGAUAGGUGGGAGGCUUUGAAGUGUGGACGCCAGUCUGCAUGGAGCCGACCUUGAAAUACCACCCUUUAAUGUUUGAUGUUCUAACGUUGACCCGUAAUCCGGGUUGCGGACAGUGUCUGGUGGGUAGUUUGACUGGGGCGGUCUCCUCCUAAAGAGUAACGGAGGAGCACGAAGGUUGGCUAAUCCUGGUCGGACAUCAGGAGGUUAGUGCAAUGGCAUAAGCCAGCUUGACUGCGAGCGUGACGGCGCGAGCAGGUGCGAAAGCAGGUCAUAGUGAUCCGGUGGUUCUGAAUGGAAGGGCCAUCGCUCAACGGAUAAAAGGUACUCCGGGGAUAACAGGCUGAUACCGCCCAAGAGUUCAUAUCGACGGCGGUGUUUGGCACCUCGAUGUCGGCUCAUCACAUCCUGGGGCUGAAGUAGGUCCCAAGGGUAUGGCUGUUCGCCAUUUAAAGUGGUACGCGAGCUGGGUUUAGAACGUCGUGAGACAGUUCGGUCCCUAUCUGCCGUGGGCGCUGGAGAACUGAGGGGGGCUGCUCCUAGUACGAGAGGACCGGAGUGGACGCAUCACUGGUGUUCGGGUUGUCAUGCCAAUGGCACUGCCCGGUAGCUAAAUGCGGAAGAGAUAAGUGCUGAAAGCAUCUAAGCACGAAACUUGCC